rnacentral:lncRNA from 1 species
AAAAAAUGAUAAAAAUAAAAAUUGUAUCAUAUAUACGUAUAUAAAUAAAUAAUUAUCAAAUAGCAAAUAUUUAUGUAUAUAUUUGUACGAUUACUCAUUUACUUUUUAAUUAGGUACAUUGAAGAGACAAAUUUCUGCUUAGGAAGAGUCACGGUAUUUAUUAAAAAAUAAAUGGAAUAAAAAAACUAUGUUAAUAUUAUGUACGACCAGUGUGUAUAUAUAUAUAUAUGUACCCUUUUUAUCUGAAUUUCUAAUCGAUGAAUGCAUGUUUUUUUUUUUUUGUCUUUUCCUUAUACAUAUGCAUAAAUAUAAACAUAUGUCCAAAUGUUUACAUGUAUAUUUACGUAGAAAUUACGAUUUUCUGAAAAAGAUGACAUGGCUAGGAGAGUUUUAAAAAUAAUGGAUAGUCAACUGAGUAAAAUGUAUACAAGAAUGAGAGAUGGUACUGUUAUACCAUUUAUGUCCUUUUAUUUGAAUGAUGUUAUAGAUAAACCUGCACCCAAUCAUCAGUUUAUUGAACAACCAUUAAUUAAGUGGACAUGGGAUGAAGCAUAUGAUGAAGCUUACGAAGAAAAAUAACGAAAAAAAAAAAAAAAAAAAAAAAAAAAAAAAAAAAAAAAAAAAAAAAAAAAAAAAAAAAAAAAAAAAAAAAGAACAUGUGUUGUAUGGACAUACAGGUUACAGACUACAGGUUACAGACUACAGGUUACAGACUACAGNNNNNNNNNNUACAGGUUACAGACUACAGGUUACAGACUACAGGUUACAGACUACAGGCUACAGACUACAGGCUACAAACUAUAAGCUACAGAUACAAACACACGCAGUUGUACUAUAUUUUUUUUUGUGCAUUACCCUUAUUCGUCUGUGUAAAUUCGCAAAUACGAAAUUUAUUCAAUGUAAAAAUAUAAAAGUUCAAAAUUUUGUAAAAAGCAUAAAAACACUUGAGUUCGUAUACAUUCAUAUAUUUAUACAAAUUAAUGAAAUGGAAAAAAUAUAAUGUUCUAUACAUAUAAAUAGCUUCGUUUAAUGUUAAAAUGGGUAUUAUUAUAGGUUGCUUAUUUUUUUGUUGUUGUUCUUUUUCUUUUAUUUCUUCUCCUUUAAUGUUUCUGUUGUGAUAAAUAUCAGAUAGUUCAUUAAAUUUGGCUUCAAUUAAUUUAUAAUCAUUAUUAUCCAAAGAAUUUAAAAAUUUGUUAAACUGUACAAUCAUUAAGUGUAUUGAUAAUUUGACAUGCCUAACGUAGUUAUUUAUCGGAUUUAUAUGUAAAAAUAUGUGUAUUAUAUUUGAAUAAAAUAAAAAAGAUAAAUAUUUAGUGCUUAAAU